GUGUUUCUGAAAUCAGUCUUGUGAUUUUUGCUUGGUUGUUGUUCUCACGGUCUUUAAUGUAUUUCAUCUUCUUUUACUACCUUUUCUGGUAUAUGAUUUGUGUUUAAGCAAGCAUUUCUUCUCACUAAAAUGCUCUAAGAUGGUGUUUCUUUAUUGUCUUCAUGCAGUGGUUGCUCAGCUCCUACAAUACACAAAUACUUAUCAUGGCGUUUCUAGCCAUUGUUUCUCUACUACUAUCUGGUUUCUUUGGAUACCAUGCUAAAUUAUGCAUCACAAACACCACAACAAAUGAGACAUUUAAGUGGAAAGAGUAUUUAAGCUGGCAGAGGAAGCUGCUUGAGGCAAAGGCAAGUGAGGCAGCCCUUAAAGAAAGUUUAGUUGAACUGAGCCUUGAUAAGAAGCUUCCGCAGAGCAAAUUGAAGGCCAUAUUCAGGAGAUCUCGUCUAGAAGAGGUGGAGGUUGUUCAAAAUAACAUUUAUGAUAAAGGCUUCCUCCACAAUUUAUAUGAGAUAAUUUUUCCUUAUUCAACAAGAAAGUCAUUUUCACAAAAGAAAUCAAAAUUGCGUUAGUAAUCCCUUGAAUUUCUGGAUGAGGUGGCCUGCUAACUAUUCUUAGCUCUUAUGCGUCCUGGAUGACCUUUACUCCUGGAGAACAAUCUAAAUUCAAGGUCAUUUGGGUUUUUACCCUUUUUAACCUAUCUGUCAUGGUGUAAUCUAAGUCGCUAUGCUACAUGGGACUCGUUGUCCCUGUUGCAGCUUUGAUAGCUCACUUUAAGGUAAAAAGAAUGAAAUGGGUUGAGCAAUUGGAUAAAGGUAUUCAUAGCACAUGAGCAUUCCCAUGCAACGCGCGUCACUUCUACUGGUGGCUUGGAAUGAAGAUACUAGAAUGACCAAAGGAAGAUAGAACUCGCUCUCCCAAUACUGCAGUUGUUCUCCAAUUUCCGGUAGGCAAUACUCUAGUUAGUGUUCCUAGUUGUGUGACAGCUGCUCAGUUUUACGAGGAGAUACUUCAUGAAUUCUUGACUAGGUGCCUCUGCUUCUUAUACUUGUUAUUAUGACUCUAUGACAACUUGAUUUUUUUGGUUGUAUGCGUCCUUUCUGAUAUAUCUAGUUAUGGAAACCUUAUCUGUUCGCCAUAACCUCUUUGAUAAUUAACAGUCAUUCUUUCCCUCUGAUGGGAUUGUAUCUUGUCUAUGGAUGGAUUGACUUCUCUCAGACGCUUCAUCACACUAAUGGGAAGGCAUUCUAAUACUCAUUGAAGGGAACUGCUAUUAGGAGUUUUUACUCGUUACACAUUCUUUCCAAGAUUUAAAAAGAGAGCAGUCAUAUGUAGCAACUAAUGUGGAGGUGAUAGAUAAGAGUAAUUUGUCUGAAUAAGCAGUGAAACCACAGUGGAUGAUGUGGUGCAGUGCCAACCGUCUGCUGAACUUGAGAAGAAAAUCCAGCCUUGUCGUUUGGUUUUGAGAGGCGAGAAGGAUGGAUGAUGAGGGGAUUAAAGGGCUAAUUUAUCAUCAGUUUCUGGUGAUUUCUUCUCAAAUUCUUGCUUUUCCAAAUUGGAAGCUGAAAUGGUAUUCUAUGAAUUUAUUUUGGGAUUCAUCUUCCUUACACACACUGUCAGUAUUGGAUGAAUGAUAAUUAUGUAAAAUUUGAAUUUGAAAUUUAAAUUUUUUGUUGAACAA